rnacentral:rRNA from 1 species
CGAAUUUAGAAAGGGCAAUUGGUGGAUGCCUUGGCGACACCAGGCGAAGAAGGACGUGACAAGCUGCGAUAAGCCUCGGGGAGCGGCACAUACGCUUUGAUCCGGGGAUUUCCGAAUGGGGCAACCCGAUAACCGUACACUGAACAAAAUAGGUGUAUAGGAGCGAACCCGCCGAAUUGAAACAUCUUAGUAAGCGGAGGAAAAGAAAGCGAAAGCGAUUCCGUAAGUAGUGGCGAACGAAAGCGGAGCAGCCCAAACCUCUGGGAUUUAUCCCGGAGGGGUUAGGACUCUCAACAUAGAUACCGAAAAGGCUAGGAGAAUCUUCUGGAAAGGAGAGCCAUAGGAGGUGAAAGCCCUGUAACUUAAAGCUGGAUUGGGUCUGGGAGUAUCCAGAGUAGCACGGGACACGUGAAACCCCGUGUGAAUGAGCGCCGACCACGGCGUAAGGCUAAAUACUCGGUGUCGACCGAUAGUGAACAAGUACCGUGAGGGAAAGGUGAAAAGAACCCCUGUUAGGGGAGUGAAAAAGUACCUGAAACCAAUUGCCUACAAUCAGUCGAAGCACCGCAAGGUGUGACGGCGUACCUUUUGUAUAAUGGGCCUAGGAGUUAUUGUUUGUGGCGAGCUUAAGUGUUUAAGGCACGUAGGCGUAGGGAAACCGAGUCUGAAUAGGGCGAGUAAAGUCGCAGGCAAUAGACCCGAAGCGGAGGUGAUCUAUCCAUGGCCAGGUUGAAGCUUUAGUAAAAUAAAGUGGAGGACCGAACCGGUCACUCUUGAGAAAGUGUCGGAUGAGCUGUGGAUCGGAGCGAAAGACUAAUCAAACCCCGCGAUAGCUGGUUCUUUCCGAAAUAUAUUUAGGUAUAGCCUCGUUGCGCUGAUGACUGGGGGUAGAGCACUGAAAAGGCAAGGGCCCAUACCCGGGUACCAACCCUUACCAAACUCCGAAUACCAGUCAAAGAAGCACGGGAGUCAGACUGUGGGGGAUAAGCUUCAUAGUCGAGAGGGAAACAGCCCAGACCACCAUUUAAGGCCCCUAAACAAUGCUAAGUGGAAAAGGAUGUGAAUUUACACAGACAAUAGGGAUGUUGGCUUAGAGGCAGCCACCAUUUAAACAGUGCGUAAUAGCUGACCUAUCGAGUGAAUUUGCGCCGAAGAUGAUCGGGACUAAGCAUUGUGCCGAAGAUGUGGGCUUACAGUAAUGUGAGCGGUAGGAAAGCGUUCCUGAGCCAUUGAAGCCAAAGCCGACAAGGCAUGGUGGAGGGUCAGGAAGUGAAAAUCUAGGCUUGAGUAACGAUAAAACCGGUUAGAAUCCGGUUCGCCGUAAGGAUAAGGUUUCCCGGGCAAGGUUCGUCCGCCCGGGGUUAGUCGGGAGCUAAGGCGAGGCCGUAAGGAGUAGUCGAUGCAAAGCAGGUUAAUAUUCCUGCACCAAGUGAAGAGGACGAAGGGUGAAAGCGCACUAUCUUAUUGAAUUGGGACUCCGAGGCUACGGCCGAGGGGGUAUGCGUGGAAGCACUUCCAGGAAAAGCCUUCACAAUAAAGCCCGUACCGCAAACCGACACAGGUAUCCGGGAAGAAUAUUCUCAGGCGCGUGAGUUAAAUCUCCCUAAGGAACUCGGCAAAUUGGCCCUGUAUCUUCGGUAAAAAGGGUGCCCCGCGAGGGGCCGCAGUGAAAAAGGCCAACCGACUGUUUAGCAAAAACACAGCUCUCUGCAAACACGCAAGUGGACGUAUAGGGAGUGACACGUGACCAAUGCGGAAAGGUGAAAGCUGGCGGUGCAAGCCUCUGGUCUAAGCCUCCGUGAAUGUCGGCCGUAACUAUAACGGUCCUAAGGUAGCGAAAUUCCUUGUCGG